rnacentral:rRNA from 1 species
AGAGUUUGAUCCUGGCUCAGAAUCAACGCUGGCGGCGUGCCUCAGACAUGCAAGUCGAACGCGAAAGGCCCCUUCGGGGGCCGAGUAGAGUGGCGCACGGGUGAGUAACACGUAGGUAAUCUACCUCUGGGUGGGGAAUAACAGCCGGAAACGGCUGCUAAUACCGCAUAACGCAGCGGCACCACAUGGUGACAGUUGUUAAAGCGGGGGAUCGUAAGACCUCGCGCCUGGAGAGGAGCCUGCGGCGGAUUAGCUAGUUGGUGGGGUAAUGGCUCACCAAGGCAACGAUCCGUAGCCGGCCUGAGAGGGCGGUCGGCCACACUGGCACUGACAUACGGGCCAGACUCCUACGGGAGGCAGCAGUCGGGAAUUUUGGGCAAUGGGCGAAAGCCUGACCCAGCAACGCCGCGUGGAGGAUGAAGUUUUUCGGAAUGUAAACUCCGUAAGAAUGGGAAGAAUAAGGGAGGGUCAAUACCCCUUCUGAUGACGGUACCAUUCGUAAGCUCCGGCUAACUCCGUGCCAGCAGCCGCGGUAAUACGGGGGGAGCAAGCGUUGUUCGGAUUUACUGGGCGUAAAGGGCGCGUAGGCGGCGCAACAAGUCACUUGUGAAAUCUCCGGGCUUAACCCGGAGCGGCCAAGUGAUACUGUCGUGCUAGAGUGCAGAAGGGGCGACUGGAAUUCUCGGUGUAGCGGUGAAAUGCGUAGAUAUCGAGAGGAACACCUGUGGCGAAGGCGGGUCGCUGGGCUGACACUGACGCUGAGGCGCGAAAGCUAGGGGAGCGAACGGGAUUAGAUACCCCGGUAGUCC